rnacentral:tRNA from 1 species
GAGGGUAUAGCUCAGUGGUAGAGUGCCUGCUUAGCAUGCACAAGGUCCUGGGUUCAAUCCCCACUACCUCG